CUCACAUGUGAAAAUUAUCGCUUUUCAAUUAUCGCUUUUCUGUAAAAAUUAUCCUUUUCAAAGACUGUCCUUUAUAUAAUAAACAGAAAAAUACAUGAGUGCUUGUAAAUACCAGAUUUAUUUCUCGUGUUGCAUGAACAUUAUAUCUCACUCGUUCGCUGCGCUCACUCGUGAGAUAUCAUGUUCAACACUCGAAAUAAAUCUGGCCAUGGUAUUUCCGCGCA